CAGUAGCCGCGGUAAAACGAAGGGUGCAAGCGUUACUCGGAAUUACUGGGCGUAAAGCGUGCGUAGGUGGUGGUUUAAGUCCGUUGUGAAAGCCCUGGGCUCAACCUGGGAAUUGCAGUGGAUACUGGGUCACUAGAGUGUGGUAGAGGAUAGUGGAAUUUCCGGUGUAGCAGUGAAAUGCGUAGAGAUUGGAAGGAACAUCUGUGGCGAAGGCGACUAUCUGGGCCAACACUGACACUGAGGCACGAAAGCGUGGGGAGCAAACAGGAUUAGAUACCCCUGUAGUCCCUGUCUCUUAUAC
rnacentral:rRNA from 1 species